rnacentral:rRNA from 1 species
UCUUAUGAGAGUUUGAUCCUAGCUCAGGAUGAACGCUGGCGGCGUGGAUAAGGCAUGCAAGUCGAGCGGACCCUUCGGGGUCAGCGGCAGACGAGUUAGUAACGCGUGGAUACCUGCCCUUCACACGGGGACAACCAGGGGAAACUUUGGCUAAUACCCGAUGGUCCGGAAACGGUAAAGGAGCAAUCCGGUGAGGGAAGGGUCCGCGUCCUAUCAGCUUGUUGGUGAGGUAACGGCUCACCAAGGCUAUGACGGGUAGGGGGCGUGAGAGCGUGAUCCCCAACGAUGGAACUGAGACACGGUCCAUACUCCUACGGGAGGCCGCAGUCGAGAAUAUUGGACAAUGGGGGAAACCCUGAUCCAGCGACGCCGCGUGCGGGAUGAAGGCCUUCGGGUUGUAAACCGCUUUUAUAGAGGAAGAAGCUUCGGCUGACGGUACUCUAUGAAUAAGGGGGUGCUAAUUCUGUGCCAGCAGCAGCGGUAAUACAGAACCCCCGAGCGUUAUCCGGAUUUAUUGGGCGUAAAGCGUUCGUAGGCGGUACAGAAAGUCUCAGGUUAAAGACUGGGGGCUCAACCUUCAGAGUGCCUGGGAAACUUCUGAACUAGAAGGUGUUAGGGGCUGAUGGAACUCUUGGUGGAGGGGUGAUAUCCGUUGAUAUCAAGAGGAACACCAAAAGCGAAGGCAUUCAGCUGGGGCAACCUUGACGCUGAGGAACGAAAGCGUGGGGAGCAAAGAGGAUUAGAUACCCUCGUAGUCCACGCCGUAAACGAUGGAUACUGGCUAUGUGAAGUGUCGACCCUUCACGUGGCGAAGCUAACGCGUUAAGUAUCCCGCCUGGGAAGUACGGCCGCAAGGCUAAAACUCAAAGGAAUAGACGGGGGUCCACACAAGCGGUGGAUCAUGUGGCUUAAUUCGUCAACAAACGAGGAACCUUACCAGGACUUGACAGGCUAGCGAAGCUUUCUGGAAACAGAUUGCGUCUCACAAGGACGCUAGCCCAGGUGUUGCACGGCCGUCGUCAGCAUGUACCUUGAGGCGCUCCGUUAAAUCGGGCAACAUGCGCAACCCUUAUCCUGUGUUUUACAUGUCACAGGAAACUGCGAGAGACAAUCUCGAGGAAGGUGAGGAUGACGCCAGGUCAGCGUGGCCCUUUGAUGUCCUGGGCUGCACACAUGAUACAAUGGAGCCGACAGCGGGUCGCGACGGGGUAACCCUGAGCUAAUCCUUCAAACGGCUCCUCAGUUCGGAUUGGGGUCUGCAACUCGACCCCAUGAAGUUGGAAUCGCUAGUAAUCGCGUAUCAGCUAUGGCGCGAUGAAUACGUUCUUGGACCUUGUACUCACCGCCCGUCACGUCAAGCAAGCUGGGAAUGCCCGAAACACCACCUUGGUGGUACUAAGGCAGAUUCAGUGAGAGGGACGAAGUCGUAACAAGGCACGGGUAGGGGAACCUGUCCGUGGAUCAUAACAUUC